GUUGGAGCCUGAAUAUUUCACCUACCACUCAGUGCCCUGAGUCUAACUAUGAACAGGGUUCUGUGUACCACUCUGGGCUCAUGUCAGUCUAGCAGCCAAUUAAAACCUGAUGUUAGCCAUGUCUUUCCAUACUGAAAUUGGGUACCUGUUCUUUUAAAAUCUAAUUUUGUAGUUAUCCCUGUUAAAUGUUAUUUACUUAUUUCUAAUUUGUCUAGUUUUGAUUCUGUUAUCUCGUGCAUUACUUAUUACUUCUAAUUCGUGCCAUCUGAAAUUUGAUAAGCAUGCCUUCUAUUUUCUCUAAGCAGUGGUCAAAAAGUGUUAGAAUGUAUAUAUUAGUAAAAAAGAAUAAUAAAAAUACCAAAUCCA
rnacentral:lncRNA from 10 species